GGAUCGAUGAUGAUUCCACCCAAAAAAAACAAACCAACAUUCCUUGGAGCUGAACAAAAUGAGUGAGAACUACAACCGUCGUCGUUCUCAUCGGAAACUGAGGUCC
rfam:Myotis davidii contig76237, whole genome shotgun sequence.